GUGGCUUUACUGACAUCGUCUCAAUCUUUUGGCAACUAAAGAUUCCGUGCCCUUCUCUUUUGCUAUGCGCCUACGCAAACACGUAACGCUAUUCAACUUCUCAUUUUUUUCCAAUAAGAUUCAGAUAAUAUACAACUAUACAAUAAUAGAUAUUUAUAUAUAUUUUUUUUUUGCUAAGAAUGUAAAUAACAUUAUAAACGAAAAAAAGGUUUGUACAGAAAGCAGACCUAAAGAAAGCAACACUUUGGCAAAAAGUGGAAAAACAAAGUGAAGCAUUUGAGAGACCAAUGAAGGCCUUUUAUCUUAACCACAACGACAUGAGGCCCCGGAAAUGCUUCCGCUGCCUCCUUGCUGAGAUAGAGUUUUUAAUGUCUCUGUCUAUUGAUCUGAAAAUUGCGUCCGGGGAGAGAGAGAGAUUCCAUUAUGCAGUACGUUAGUACGCUGCCUCCAGAUAUGGUAAAUAGUAGACUGGCCAACGAGCAUUCUCAGUACUGCUAUACAAUAAUAUUAACAGGAUAAAUAGUAGACUGACCAACUAUACAAUAAUAUUUGCAUGACGUAUAUCCAAAAGGAUAAUGCAUGCAUCUUAACAGCCGUAUUUGGUCAGAAUAUAAACAUUAAAUUGAUUGCCGAGCUAGU
rnacentral:lncRNA from 1 species